UCGCCUCCCUUUCUCAUCUCACCUUCUCUCUCUAAUAUCAAACCAUUCUCAUCUCACCUUCUCUCUCUAAUAUCAAACCAUUCUCAUCUCAUCCUCUCUCUCUCUCCAAACCGUUCCCUUCAUCUCACUCUCGCUCUUUCUUUCCUUUUACAGGUGCGGUGACGUGGAUAUCUGAUAACGAGGGAGGCGGGGGGAACAACAUCGUGAAUGACAGGGGUUAUUCCACGGUGGUGGCAAGGUGGCUUAGGGUGUUCAUGGCAUUAGUGUCUGUGGCUCGCGGUGGUGGUGGAGUGAAUGGAAGAGGACUUCGAGUCUUGGCAAAGGGCUGUUUAUGUGACUUUUUUUUGUUGGUUUGUAUUUGUUAGAUUGUGGAACUAUUUUUGCCUUUUAAUUUGUUUUUUGUAAGUUUUUCUUCUUUUGUCAUGUUGGAAUGUUGCUUCCAGUUUGUGUUUAUUAUAGCUUGUGCCUUUGUAAUUUUGUUUCUACUUUGAAUUUGUUUUGUUCAUACUUUCUAAGUCUGCUUUUGGAUAGUUGUGCAAUAACAUUUGUUGUUAAAAUGGUUUAAUAAAUAUGGAUUGAAUAUGA